AGAGUUUGAUCAUGGCUCAGGAUGAACGCUAGCGGGAGGCCUAACACAUGCAAGUCGAACGGGAUUGGUAGCAAUACCAUGAGAGUGGCGCACGGGUGAGUAACGCGUAUGCAACCUACCUUAUACUGGGGGAUAGCCCAGAGAAAUCUGGCUUAAUACCGCAUAGUAAUAAAGAGUCGCAUGACUUUUCGAUUAAAACUCCGGUGGUUAAGGAUGAGUAUGCGUGACAUUAGUUAGUUGGUGAGGUAACGGCUCACCAAGACGAUGAUGUCUAGGGGGUCUUAAAGGAUGGUCCCCCACACUGGUACUGAGACACGGACCAGACUCCUACGGGAGGCAGCAGUGAGGAAUAUUGGUCAAAUGGACGAAAGUUGAACCAGCCAUGCCGCGUGCAGGAUGACAGCCCUACGGGUCGUAAACUGCUUUUAUAUACCAAGAAACGCUUCUACGUGUAGAGGUUUGACGGUAGUAUAUGAAUAAGGAUCGGCUAACUCCGUGCCAGCAGCCGCGGUAAUACGGAGGAUCCAAGCGUUAUCCGGAUUUAUUAGGUUUAAAGGGUGCGCAGGCGGGAAGAUGAGUCAGUGGUGAAAUCCUGUAGCUCAACUACAAAACUGCCAUUGAUACUGGAAAGUUCUUGAGUGCGGUUGAGGUAAGCGGAAUGUGUAGUGUAGCGGUGAAAUGCUUAGAUAUUACACAGAACACCAAUUGCGAAGGCAGCUUACUAAACCGUAACUGACGCUGAGGCACGAAAGCGUGGGGAGCGAACAGGAUUAGAUACCCUGGUAGUCCACGCCGUAAACGAUGAUUACUCGUUGUGGUGCAAUAUACUGUACGUGACUGAGCGAAAGCAUUAAGUAAUCCACCUGGGGAGUACGUCGGCAACGAUGAAACUCAAAGGAAUUGACGGGGGCCCGCACAAGCGGAGGAACAUGUGGUUUAAUUCGAUAAUACGCGAGGAACCUUACCCGGGCUUAAAUGGAGCACGACAGAUUGUGAAAGCAGUCCUUCUUUGGACAAGUUUCAAGGUGCUGCAUGGUUGUCGUCAGCUCGUGCCGUGAGGUGUCGGGUUAAGUCCCAUAACGAGCGCAACCCCUAUCAUUAGUUGCCAUCAGGUCAAGCUGGGGACUCUAAUGAAACUGCCGCCGCAAGGCGUGAGGAAGGUGGGGAUGACGUCAAAUCAGCACGGCCCUUAUGUCCAGGGCUACACACGUGCUACAAUGGUCGAUACAAAGGGCAGCUACCUGGUGACAGGAUGCUAAUCUCCAAAAUCGGUCUCAGUUCGGAUCGGAGUCUGCAACUCGACUCUGUGAAGUUGGAUUCGCUAGUAAUCGCAUAUCAGCCAUGAUGCGGUGAAUACGUUCCCGGGCCUUGUACACACCGCCCGUCAAACAAUGGAAGCUGGGAGUACCUGAAGUCUGUAACCGCAAGGAGCGGCCUAAGGUAAAACUAGUAACUGGGGCUAAGUCGUAACAAGGUAAC
rnacentral:rRNA from 1 species